CCACCUCUACAGUGAGUGGUGGUUCUACUAAUUUCAGUAGAAUAGCUUGGCCGCUGUGCAAGGAUGACAUGCAAAUUCGUGAAGCGCUCUAUAUUUAA
rnacentral:snRNA from 1 species